AAAGUGAUAAUCACACGAGUCUACAUAUUAGCCGCCAACCGCAACCCAAACAAAGACAUACACUAGACUUAUACAUCCUUUUCUUUAUACAUCCUUAAGCCGAGUAAAAUCUCAUGGACUCGUAUCAGGAUGAUGGCGUAUACCAACCCCUUCUCCAGCCUGAUCAGUUUUUUCCGUCGACAGAGUCGAACAACGGCGAGUUAGAGAGAGUGCUAUCCGAAGUUGAAACUCCCCUGUUUCUUCGCCUGCGUAAAGCCACAAUGAUUGAAUCCAAGCUUCUUUUCAAACUUGCUGCACCUGCGGUCAUCGUCUACAUGAUAAACUACCUCAUGUCCAUGUCCACUCAAAUUUUCUCCGGCCAUCUCGGAAACCUAGAACUCGCUGCCGCUUCUCUCGGAAACCGUGGAAUUCAAGUCUUUGCCUAUGGUCUCAUGCUAGGAAUGGGGAGUGCGGUUGAGACGCUAUGUGGACAAGCGUUUGGAAGUAGAAAAUAUGAGAUGCUCGGCGUUUAUCUUCAGAGAUCCACCGUGCUGCUCACUCUCACGGGCGUUCUCCUAACUUUAAUUUACGUCUUUUCUGAAAACAUUUUGCUUUUCCUCGGACAGUCACCGGAAAUAGCUUCGGCCGCGUCUCUCUUCGUCUACGGUCUCAUCCCUCAAAUCUUUGCCUACGCCGUAAACUUCCCUAUGCAGAAGUUCCUACAGUCGCAAAGCAUCGUUGCACCGAGUGCUUACAUCUCAACGGCCACUCUCUACGUUCACCUUCUCUUAAGCUGGCUCGCUAUUUACAAGCUUGGGAUAGGGCUUCUUGGAGCGUCGCUCGUGCUCAGCCUCUCGUGGUGGAUUAUAGUGGUGGCUCAGUUUGUUUACAUAGUGACGAGUGAACGGUGUCGUGAGACGUGGAGAGGGUUUAGUGUGCAAGCGUUCUCGGGGCUACCGAGUUUCUUCGAACUGUCCGCCGCCUCCGCCGUGAUGCUUUGCCUUGAGACUUGGUAUUUUCAGAUCUUGGUUCUUCUUGCCGGACUUCUCGAGAAUCCGGAACUUGCUCUUGAUUCUCUCUCUGUUUGCUUGACGAUUGCUGGUUGGGCGUUCAUGAUAUCUGUUGGGUUCAACGCAGCGAUUAGUGUAAGAGUCAGUAAUGAACUGGGAGCUGGAAAUCCUAAAUCAGCAGCAUUUUCUGUAAUCAUCGUCAACAUAUAUUCGUUAAUCACAAGUGUGAUCUUAGCCAUUAUAGUUUGGCUGUGCCGUGACAUUCUGAGCUACGCAUUCACCGAAGGUGAAAAAGUCUCAGCUGCGGUUUCUGAUCUUUGCCCGUUUUUAGCUGUAACUCUUGUUCUCAAUGGAAUCCAACAUGUACUGUCUGUUUUUACAAUUGGGAUAUUUAAGGUGUGGCGGUUGGGUGCGGUUGGCAAACGUUUGUGGCAAAAGUUAACGUUGGAUGCUACUACAUUAUCGGAAUUCCCAUUGGGGCUCUCUUUGGGUUUUAUUUCAAAUACGAUGCCAAGGGUAUAUGGACGGGAAUGAUUGGUGGUACGCUUAUACAAACGGUUGUUUUGGUCUGGGUCAUAUUUAAAACAGACUGGACAAAAGAAGUUGAAGAAGCUUCCAAACGGCUAGAUAAAUGGAGCAACAAGAAACCAGAAAUAAUUUCUGAAUGAUGUAAUUAAGCUGGGUAUUCAAUAAACCCAAAAUAUUAUUUUUGUCCGAACAUAUUACAUGUAUGCAUUAUUAAAAAUGAACAAUACACUUAGACAUGUUAAGUCAGCUAUAUUAAACAUUUUUAUAAAUA